rnacentral:rRNA from 1 species
UACAUGGGGUGCAAACGUUGCUCGGAAUUAUUGGGCGUAAAGCGCACGUAGGCGGUUUGUUAAGUCGGAUGUGAAAUCCCUCGGCUCAACUGAGGAAGUGCAUCCGAAACUGGCAAGCUUGAGUACGAAAGAGGGUCGCGGAAUUCCCGGUGUAGAGGUGAAAUUCGUAGAUAUCGGGAGGAACACCAGUGGCGAAGGCGGCCAUCUGGACGGAUACUGACGCUGAGACGCGAAAGCGUGGGGAGCAAACAGG